rnacentral:rRNA from 1 species
AUGUUCAGAUCCAAGGUCCAGGAGAUGAUCCUCAGGAGGAGGUCCAGGUCCAUGAACGGCGCCGCAUGCGCGCAGCACGCCGGCAACUCUUCCACGGCCCCGUGCGACGCCGGCGGCAAGGCUGCUGCUACUGUUGCUUUUGCUGCUCGCGCGCCGUUGUUCGCCGCGCCGAGGCUGCUUCACUCGUCGUCGCUCCCUGCCGGCGACCGCGCCGCGGUCAUCACUGGGAGCCCCGCGCGGGACUCCGAGACGACGGCCGCCUACGCCAUGAGCCCGACCUCCGUGCUGGACGCAUCAGCGGCCUUCGGCUCGACCGUGGACGCCGGCGGGGGCAAGCGCCGGCCGUGGUGCGACGGGUGCGCGGGCCCGCACGGGCUCGCCGACGUGCUCGACUGCGCCCACGAGGCCCAGCGGAGGAAGAGCGUCCUCCGGAGCACCGUCAGAGCGCAGGCGCCGGCUCUUGUCAGGUCGUGCUCCCUGGACCGGCGCGUGGAGUUCGGCGUCAAGAACAAGAGCUCAUGGCUGCCGCUGCGCGCCGCCCGCGCGGGGGCGGCCGAGGAGUCGGAGGACGGACCGUCGUCCGAGGACUACACCUGCGUCAUCUCCCGCGGGCCCAACCCGCGGACGGUGCACAUCUUCGGCGACCGCGUCGUGGAUUUAUCCGCUUGCAGGUGA